UACGGAGGGAGCUAGCGUUGUUCGGAAUUACUGGGCGUAAAGCGCACGUAGGCGGCUUUGUAAGUUAGAGGUGAAAGCCCGGGGCUCAACUCCGGAAUUGCCUUUAAGACUGCAUCGCUAGAAUUGUGGAGAGGUAAGUGGAAUUCCGAGUGUAGAGGUGAAAUUCGUAGAUAUUCGGAAGAACACCAGUGGCGAAGGCGACUUACUGGACACGUAUUGACGCUGAGGUGCGAAAGCGUGGGGAGCAAACAGG
rnacentral:rRNA from 1 species